AUGUCGCCUAGUCUGGAGGAGGCUGGAGCAGACAAGAUGAUGAUCACUGCCAUGGUUUGGCCUGGUCUGAGAGUGCCCUUGUGGAUUCCUGUGCUGCAAGCUGGGUCCCAGUGUGUCAAGGGCACUCAUCCCGGGAAAGAAGUCAAAACACACGCCUGGGUUCCCGGAUGAUCGAGGAGCAUGACCAGCGCUAGAAGACUGUACCAGUUCUGGAAGAGUUCAAAUCCAUUCUUGAAGUUUUACAGUUAUUCAGAACUUUUAAGGUCUCUGCAUCCAGAAAUUUUAUAGCUAUGGUUAAGUAUGGCUUUUGGAUUAAUUUUGCUUAAGUUUAUAACUUGUUACUCUCUGACUUGGAAAAAAUUAAAAACUGAAGAAUUUGGCACUUUUCUCAACUAGGUUUCUGCCAAUACAGUACCAUGGUGCCCAGCUUUGUUUCCUGAAUUGUAAACAUUUAAAACUUUUAUCUUGUUUUGAAAUUCUGUAUCGUUCUUAUUGUUUCUUCCCUUUAAAAUUAAAUAAAUAAAUAAAAGCAUGCAUUGAUUCCUCUUUAAAAAAUAAAUGAAAAACAAUUUUGCUCCAUACAGAGAUAAUGAUUUUCAGAGGAGAAACAUUAUUUGCAUUCAAAAUCUUAGGUCCAAGCCAGAUACAGUGGUACAGACUUGUAAUCCCUGCAUUUUAGAAGGCUGAGACAGGAGGAUCACAAGUUCAAGUCUACCCUGGACAACUUAGCAAGCCUUUGUCUCAAGAAAUAAAAAAAAGGCUGAGGGUA
rnacentral:lncRNA from 1 species